ACGUACACUCCUGCGGGAGGCAGCAGUGGGGAAUAUUGGACAAUGGGCGCAAGCCUGAUCCAGCCAUGCCGCGUGAGUGAUGAAGGCCCUAGGGUUGUAAAGCUCUUUCACCGGUGAAGAUAAUGACGGUAACCGGAGAAGAAGCCCCGGCUAACUUCGUGCCAGCAGCCGCGGUAAUACGAAGGGGGCUAGCGUUGUUCGGAUUUACUGGGCGUAAAGCGCACGUAGGCGGACUAUUAAGUCAGGGGUGAAAUCCCGGGGCUCAACCCCGGAACUGCCUUUGAUACUGGUAGUCUUGAGUUCGAGAGAGGUGAGUGGAAUUCCGAGUGUAGAGGUGAAAUUCGUAGAUAUUCGGAGGAACACCAGUGGCGAAGGCGGCUCACUGGCUCGAUACUGACGCUGAGGUGCGAAAGCGUGGGGAGCAAACAGGAUGAGAAACCCCAGUAGUCCCAUGA
rnacentral:rRNA from 1 species